UGAGCGGAGAUAUAUGGAGCUUGCUUUAUAUAACUUAGCAGCGAACGGGUGAGUAACACGUAGAUAAUCUGUCCUAUACUGGGGGAUAGCCCGAUGAAAGUUGGAUUAAUACCGCAUAUAGCUAUAUAGUUGCAUGAUUAUGUAGUGAAAGAUUUAUUGGUAUAGGAGGAGUCUGCGGCACAUUAGCUAGUAGGUGAGGUAAAGGCUUACCUAGGCGACGAUGUGUAGCCGGUCUGAGAGGAUGAACGGCCACAAUGGAACUGAGACACGGUCCAUACUCCUACGGGAGGCAGCAGUGGGGAAUAUUGCACAAUGGGGGAAACCCUGAUGCAGCAACGCCGCGUGAGUGAAGAAGGUUUUCGGAUUGUAAAGCUCUGUUAGCAGGGAAGAGGAAGGACGGUACCUGCAGAGGAAGCCACGGCUAACUACGUGCCAGCAGCCGCGGUAAUACGUAGGUGGCAAGCGUUGUUCGGAAUAACUGGGCGUAAAGGAUGCGUAGGCGGUUAAACAAGUUAUAUGUUAAAUAUAUAGGCUUAACCUGUAGAAAGCAUAUAAAACUGUUUAACUAGAGUGCAGGAGAGGUAAGUGGAAUUCCUAGUGUAGCGGUGAAAUGCGUAGAGAUUAGGAAGAACACCAGUGGCGAAGGCGACUUACUGGACUGUAACUGACGCUGAGGCAUGAGAGCAUGGGGAGCAAACAGGAUUAGAUACCCUGGUAGUCCAUGCUGUAAACGAUGGGUACUAGGUGUGGGUUGUGAAUAACAAUUCGUGCCGUCGCAAACGCAAUAAGUACCCCGCCUGAGGAG
rnacentral:rRNA from 1 species